CCAAUAGCGUAUAUUAAAGUUGUUGCAGUUAAAAAGCUCGUAGUUGAAUUUUGGGUCUGGCCGGGCGGUCCGCCCUCCGGGUGAGCACUGUUCCGACGCCGGGCCUAUCCUUCUGGUGAGUCGGCAUGUCCUUUGUUGGGUGUGUCGGGGAACCAGGACCAUUACCUUGAAAAAAUUAGAGUGUUCAAAGCAGGCGUAUGCUCGGAUACAUUAGCAUGGAAUAAUGAAAUAGGACGCGUGGUGCUAUUUUGUUGGUUUCUAGAACCGCCGUAAUGAUUAAUAGGGAUAGUUGGGGGCAUUCGUAUUCAAUUGUCAGAGGUGAAAUUCUUGGAUUUAUUGAAGACUAACUUCUGCGAAAGCAUUUGCCAAGGAUGUUUUCAUUAAUCAAGAACGAAAGUUAGGGGAUCGAAGACGAUCAGAUACCGUCGUAGUCUUAACCAUAAACUAUGCCGACUAGGAAUCGGGCGAUGUUAUUCUCAUGACUCGCCCGGCGCCUUAUG
rnacentral:rRNA from 1 species